ensembl:snoRNA
UGCCUUUGUGUUACCCACUCAUUUGUGAAAGUGAUGAGUGCGGCGUCAAGAAAGGCAAACAGUAUCUCCCUGUAACCAACCUCGAGUUGCCUCUGGCUGUACAUACACCCCCGGCACUGGGAACUUGGAGACACUU